CCUGUAGCGAAGACUGGGUCGACACAGUCUUGGAGCAUUGUACACCCUGUAGCGAAGACUGGGUCGACACAGUCUUGGAGCAUUGUACACCCUGUAGCGAAGACUGGGUCGACACAGUCUUGGAUUACUACAAAGUUAAGGUUCCGCAGUUGCCACUAGUUUUAGUGCUACAAAACCCUUCAUUUGAACAGUUUACUGCCUGUAGCUGAGACUGGAGACUGGGUUUGAGAAGUCAACUUGCUAAAGGACCUGACUGAGGCCAGGUGUUCCAGUUUAGGCCAAGCUAAAGAUGUAAAGGCCCGACGGACAUUAAUAACAUACUGAAUGUGGACCCAUUAGGACAGAGUAGACAUUGUAGUCUUUCUCUAUGGGGAGUUAAUGCAUUGCCUUUAUCUCAGUAAUUCCUCAUCAAUAUGCAAAACAUGCACAUCAAAGUCAAAUAGUUUGCACUUUUCAAUAAGUAAAGUUGAGCGGUAAUGUGUGUGUAAGUGUGUUGGAAUGCAUGUGUGGCCGCAUGCACGGACAUGCUCUUUGUCAUCUAUGUUUAUUCUUAUUUUCCCUCUCCCUCCUUUCUAUCUCUUUCACCCCUUCUCCACUCCCCUCCCUCUCUCUCUCUCAUUUAGUUAUUCUGCUCACGCACUCCUGCGGCACCCUUUCUUCACUCCUCAGACAGCCUGGGAUGCCACUGUCUCGACAGACACUCCCACAAUGCAAUGCUUCUACUCCAGCUCCCUCAGUCUGGGCCAGGGCCUGGGUCUAGACCCAUGCACACACAUGCACACACACACGAACGCACACACACACACACACACACACACACACACACACACACACACACACACACACACACACACACACACACACACACACACACACACACACACACACACAAACACACUGGACCAGGGGUCUCCUACCUUUUCUAGCAUGUUAGCUACUUUUAAAUGAUGAAACAUGUCACGAGCUAAUCAUGAUUUUUUUGUCCUAGCUUUCAAAUUGUAUUUUCCAAAAUUCAGUUCUGUGUUUAAUAAUUCCUGUUUUUUUCCAUUUUUUCACUCUCAAAAUUCCAGUCAUUCAUAGAGAAACAAAGAAAUAGGAUGUUCUGAGUCCAUGUCAAUGCUUAAAUUACAUCAGAAGACCAUUUGAGGGCUGUAAAAAAAACAUGAUUAAUUGCGCAUUUUGCAAGAGAGGAAUGUGCUGGUCGAGCGAUGUUUUUGCUGCUGCAUACGUCAAAACAGUUGGCAAAACCAAAGCCCACCCAAAUAAUGAUGAUAUAAUUGUGCCAGGUAAGACUACUUUGCAGUUAACAUUUAAUUGAGAAGGUUUUGGGGAAAGUAUUUCUGUCUAAAUAUAAUUUAUUAUUAUUAUUACUACCCAGAAGACAGUUAGCAUUAUUGCUAACUGGCUACACUAAGUGAAUGAUAGACCAAAGUGCACACCACACAGACAUACAGGGGCAAUAUUGCAGGAAAUUAAUUGGCAUAUAUUUUUUGUUACGUUCAGCACUAUAGGGGGAAUGGGAUAUGUCAAUGUGGAUUUGAAUGAAUAGUAGCCAGGAGCUUGAGGUGUCAGAUACUUGUGAGAUUUGUUUAUGACAGUUUGCAUGGGAACAUGUGAAAAUACAUGCACUUUCAGAAUUGUUUGGUGAGCUACUCAUGGGUGGGCUGCGAGCUUCUGGUAGCUCGCGAUGGACGUGUUGUAGACCCCUGCACUGGACAGUGACCAGUAACUUAUUUUGUACAUAAUGUUUCUGCCACCAUGUCUUAUGACCGAAAAGAGCUUCUUUAUAUUAGGGUAGCGAUUACUCACCCCGUACUGGAGGAAUUCUUCUUCUUUAACAGGUUCGAUGGGAGGGAUUUACUCCAGACACCCGACAAGGCCCUCAUAACUGUCAUUCGCAGGAGGAAAAGACGAAGAUAUCGUGGACGAUGGUCCUGGUGCCUUGCAGGGCAGCGAGAGGCUAAGUCCACUCAUGUUCUCUGAUUAAGAGGUGAUGACUACUCCACUCCACUACCAUUGUCAACUCUCUCCUGACAUGAACUGAAGCCACGUCUCAUGUGCCCGCUCAUUCACUGGCACAUUGAAUGUUUCCCUUCCAAGCACUUCAAAUCCUGUCCUGCACUGGUCAAGCCUCUGAACACCUCAACUCAUGCAUCACACCCUCAUUCAAUCACUGCUGUGAUCCCUUUCCAACACUGUCUCUGCCUUAUUUUUGCUGAAGGAACCGGCCUACUCUGUCCCUCAAGCCUGACUCCAUUUUGACGCCAGAUGAAGAGACGAGGAAUGACCAGCCAUGUGGUCCCCACACUAUGCCAGCUCCAGCCCACACCAUCGGCUACCUACUACCACACUGGUACGUUGGCAUUUCUCUUUUUGUAUUUCUCUACUUUCAGAUCCAUUCUUCUAUCCUUGGUCUUGGUUUGUUGUGAUAAGUUAAUCAGUGUGACCUAUGAUUCUGUACCUCUCCUUACCUCACAGGACCCUAGCGGUGUAUUGUUAACAGAACUUGUGAGUUCCUGUAUUUCUGGCAGAUAACUACGGUAAAAUAAAUAAAGCAAAUGAAAUCUCCGCCUCACGUAUAUUCACUCUCAGCUUGUGAAAAAUGUUUUGCAGCGAUUGUUGUGAAAGAUAGUGUGCUGAUGUACAUGAACAAAACGUUGUGUUUUCUGAGACAAAAUGCUAUAUUAAUACGACCUCUCUUUGCCGUUUUCUAUUGCAUAAUGCAUCAUUUAACGCAUCUGCGUCCGGUUUCGCCGUCACAUUUUAAAUUGCACAAUGCCAAUUGAAUGACCUUUUCGAUUUGUAGCUGAAUGUCUAAAGCGUUCUAUAAUUUCUGUAUUUUAAUAAGACAUCAGUUGGUAGAGCAUGGCGUUUGCGAUGCCAACAUAGUGGGAUCGAUUUCUCAGAGCCAACUAUACAUAAAAAAAUGUAUGCACUGUAAGUCGCUUUGGAUAAAAAUGUCUGUUAAAUGGUAUAUAUCACAUGUUGUGUUUCUGUAGGGGGGUAAAAGACAGACAAGGUGGCUCUGCAGACCUCACUGGGUACUUUGACUGAUUGUCAAUUUCAUGUGACCUUUCAUUUGACAUUUGACUGUUGUUGUCUUAUUCAUAGUGAAAUGAUACCUUUCUACACUUGUAUAUCCUAGGGUGACUCUCCCUCAAGCAGUUAUUUAAUUGUUGUCUUUAUAUAAGAGCUAUGGCCAAUAUGUUCAUUUUUA